rnacentral:misc_RNA from 1 species
CGUACAUCUCGACGGGGCUGCGCGAGAACAAGUUCGGCGUCGCCCACGCCGAUGCCGAGCGUCUCUAUCGGCAUGCGGCGGCGCUACCGGGCAUCGAGCUCGUGGGCAUCGGCUGCCAUAUCGGGUCCCAGCUCACAGGCGCGGCGCCUUACGCAGAAGCUGCGGGACGCAUCGCGCAGCUCGCAGACCGGUUUCAAACGGUUGGUAUUGCGCUUCG